GAAACCAACAGGGAUUGCCCUAGUAACGGCGAGUGAAGCGGCAACAGCUCAAAUUUGAAAUCUGGCUCUCUCUUUGGGGGUCCGAGUUGUAAUUUGUAGAGGGUGCUUCGGCGUUGGCCUUGGUCUAAGUUCUUUGGAACAGGACGUCAUAGAGGGUGAGAACCCCGUACGUGGCCAGUGGUCUUCGCCAUGUGAAGCCCCUUCGACGAGUCGAGUUGUUUGGGAAUGCAGCUCUAAAUGGGAGGUAUAUUUCUUCUAAAGCUAAAUACUGGCCAGAGACCGAUAGCGCACAAGUAGAGUGAUCGAAAGAUGAAAAGCACUUUGGAAAGAGAGUUAAAAAGCACGUGAAAUUGUUGAAAGGGAAGCGCUUGCAACCAGACUUGCCUGCAGUUGCUCAUCUAGGCUUUUGCCUGGUGUAUUCUUCUGCGGGCAGGCCAGUAUCAGUUCGGGCGGUUGGAUAAAGACGUUGGGAAUGUAGCUCUCUUCGGAGAGUGUUAUAGCCCAGCGUGCAAUACAGCCAGCCUGGACUGAGGUCCGCGCUUCGGCUAGGAUACUGGCGUAAUGGUUGUAAGCGGCCCGUCUUGAAACACGGACCAAGGAGUCUAACAUCUAUGCGAGUGUUUGGGUGUCAAGCCCGGGCGCGUAAUGAAAGUGAACGGAGGUAGGAACCUUUUCGAAGGCGCACUAUCGACCGAUCCUGAUGUCUUCGGAUGGAUUUGAGUAAGAGCAUAGCUGUUGGGACCCGAAAGAUGGUGAACUAUGCCUGAAUAGGGUGAAGUCAGAGGAAACUCUGAUGGAGGCUCGCAGCGGUUCUGACGUGCAAAUCGAUCGUCAAAUUUGGGCAUAGGGGCGAAAGACUAAUCGAA
rnacentral:rRNA from 1 species